UACGUAGGGGGCUAGCGUUGUCCGGAAUCAUUGGGCGUAAAGCGCGUGUAGGCGGUCCGGUAAGUCCGCUGUGAAAGUCGAGGGCUCAACCCUCGAAUGCCGGUGGAUACUGUCGGGCUAGAGUACGGAAGAGGCGAGUGGAAUUCCUGGUGUAGCGGUGAAAUGCGCAGAUAUCUGGAGGAACACCGGUGGCGAAGGCGGCAUCCUGGACCGGCAUUGACGCUGAGGCGCGAAAGCCAGGGGAGCAAACGGG
rnacentral:rRNA from 1 species